UGGGGAAUAUUGCACAAUGGGGGAAACCCUGAUGCAGCCAUGCCGCGUGUGUGAAGAAGGCCUUCGGGUUGUAAAGCACUUUCAGCGAGGAGGAAAGGUGGUUGGCUAAUACCCAAUCGCUGUGACGUUACUCGCAGAAGAAGCACCGGCUAACUCCGUGCCAGCAGCCGCGGUAAUACGGAGGGUGCAAGCGUUAAUCGGAAUUACUGGGCGUAAAGCGUGCGCAGGCGGUUUGUUAAGCGAGAUGUGAAAGCCCUGGGCUCAACCUAGGAAUAGCAUUUCGAACUGGCGAACUAGAGUCUUGUAGAGGGGGGUAGAAUUCCAGGUGUAGCGGUGAAAUGCGUAGAGAUCUGGAGGAAUACCGGUGGCGAAGGCGGCCCCCUGGACAAAGACUGACGCUCAGGUGCGAAAGCGUGGGGAGCAAACA
rnacentral:rRNA from 1 species